rnacentral:lncRNA from 1 species
CUCUCAUAGUUAUAAAUCUUUCAGCUUAUCCCAGCAUUCUUGGCUUUAGAAUCCAAAUCACCAACUGCCAAACCAGGAGAGGAGCAGGUUUCUGAAAUAUUCUCAAUUGUAAGCAUUGAGUGUUCAUGUGGGUGGGAGGGAAGAACAGAAAGAGACCUCCCAGAGCCCACCUUCAGCACUCCCCACCCUCACAGAACCACACACACUUUCAGAGAUGCAGGGCCAUUGCCAAGAAAUGCAAGAUGAGGUUUAAACAUGAUUGUGCCCUUACUUCAUGAUUGAUAGUUUCUUCCUCCUCUAAGUGAAAAACAAAAUAAUCCCUUUCUCUAGUCUAGGGAAAAUUUGGA